CGCGGCCUCGGGGCCGGACCUGCCCUCCUGCUGUCCUGGGAACCGGCUUCUGCUGCCGCUGUCCCGGAAAAGCACUUCUGCCCCGGGGUUCCCACAUCGCGACUCUCAUUCAUUGCAAAUGGGGAGCUCAAGUGGAUGCUCCGGCUUCCGCCUCACUCCUGCCGGUAGCCCGAUUAGUGCUCUCUGAAUCCCAGAGCCGCCCCCUCCUGAUUCAGGAAUGUUCAGACUUAUGCACCUGCUAAACAGCUCUGCCAAACAGCUCCAGGAGAGGCUCCAGUUGCCUGCACAUAUGGGAAACACAUUCCAGCCGCAGACACUGACGCACAGCCAGGGACUUAACUUUUGAACACACAGUGGCAGGCCCCCUAGAGUGUCGUCUCUAGGGGAGCUGAGAGGGCACCACGAAGGAUGGAGGAGGUGAAACCCGAUUUCCAGAACUCCGGAGCAAGUGUUUCUGAACAACCAAAUGGUCUCUGGCUAACAUCAUUUCCUACUGGUGACGUGAUGUGGAAGAACCCAAGUCUGGUGCAAGUCCGGUUUGUCUUGUGAACACGCUCCUCUGUUUCUCAAAGUAUGGACACCCACUGAGAUAAGACUUCUGUGUGCCUUCGAAGUGACAUGCUAUAGCAUGCAGGAGUACUCCUUCCCAGUCUCUUCCCUCUGGGAAGAAGAAAGAAGCAUGCAGGACGCUCAAAGGAAGGAAGGGGAUUGAAAAAGGAGGAGGAGGAGGAUGUCUGCAAGGUGCCAGAACAUGGGUCUCCAGGACUUCUCUCCUCACUUGACAUCGGUGUGAACAACUACUCCUGAACUUUAAGAAACUCACAGCAACUAACUCACGGCAUGGAGUUGAGGCAUGGAAGGAAAAAAAAGAGCCACCACAAGACCCGUGUCUCACCCUCCUUCAGCCCACAGAGAAUGGUGUAGAGACAAAAGCCUUCUCUGUGGAGAAUAACCACGCUGAAUGAAUGAAUGACCCACAACUGUCUCUUAAAACUGGAGAUUUGUGAGCUGGACAUUGCGAGAGGUACUUGUGUUUCCAACCCCUCAACACUUAAAUAAAAAGAUCCUGUGUUCAAAACUAGCCUGUGCUACAUUGUAAGAGUUUUCAAAAAUAAAAUAAAAGAUAAGAAAG
rnacentral:lncRNA from 1 species